rnacentral:rRNA from 1 species
GAUGAACGCUGGCGGCGUGCCUAAUACAUGCAAGUCGAGCGAACAGACGAGGAGCUUGCUCCUCUGACGUUAGCGGCGGACGGGUGAGUAACACGUGGAUAACCUACCUAUAAGACUGGGAUAACUUCGGGAAACCGGAGCUAAUACCGGAUAAUAUAUUGAACCGCAUGGUUCAAUAGUGAAAGACGGUUUUGCUGUCACUUAUAGAUGGUUCCGCGCCGCAUUAGCUAGUUGGUAAGGUAACGGCUUACCAAGGCGACGAUGCGUAGCCGACCUGAGAGGGUGAUCGGCCACACUGGAACUGAGACACGGUCCAGACUCCUACGGGAGGCAGCAGUAGGGAAUCUUCCGCAAUGGGCGAAAGCUUGACGGAGCAACGCCGCGUGAGUGAUGAAGGUCUUCGGAUCGUAAAACUCUGUUAUUAGGGAAGAACAAAUGUGUAAGUAAAUAUGCACGUCUUGACGGUACCUAAUCAGAAAGCCACGGCUAACUACGUG